CCUGGCAAUGACGACACCCUUGCCCUCGCUGAGAACAGCGUUCGCUGGUGAGAGCAGUUCCAUGCGCUCAGCGGAGCCGAGCCGGA
rfam:Eurypyga helias contig1204, whole genome shotgun sequence.